GGAUGGUUGGCAGAGCGGCCAAAUGCGCCUCGCUGUAGACGAGGUCCUUCGGGUACGGGAGUUCAAAUCUCUCACCAUCCA
rnacentral:tRNA from 1 species